GUACUUACCUGGCAGAGCAAUACCACGAUUAUGAGGGUGGUUUUCCCAAGGGGAGCUUAUCCAUCCCUCUCCUGCAAUUUCCCCAAAUGUGGGAAACAUGACUGCAUAAUUUUUGGUAGUGGGGGACUACAUCACAACCUCCCU
rnacentral:snRNA from 1 species